rnacentral:misc_RNA from 1 species
UAGCAGCUCUGAGCAGGAA